CGUAUUUUUGAAGCGACGGAAUAGUUGUUUGUAGUACAGUUGGCAUUUGUUAUACGUCCAGCACAUCCUAAAGUCAAAGACGGAGAUCUUCAUCGCGGGGUGAAAGAUGCACGGGCGCGUGAAGAUAAAGUCGACUGCGCAGCAGGAGGAGGAGAAGAGGAAAGAGAAAGAGAAGAAGUUGAAAGCGUUUGUGUCUGCUCGCGAUGCCGUCCUGAAGAAGAGGAGUGCUGGGGAGCAUGACGAGGAGGCUCUGCAGUUGACUCGGCAGCUCCUGUCCUCAAACCCGGACUUCGCCACGCUGUGGAACUACAGGAGAGAAGUGCUCUUACACCUGGAGACCCUACGAGAGAAGGACGAGGUGCAGAAGCUGUAUGAGUCUGAGCUGCACUUCAUCGAGGCCUGUCUGAAAGUGAACCCCAAAUCUUACGGCUGCUGGCACCACCGCACCUGGGUAAACACACGCCUCCCGCAGCCUGACUGGACACGAGAGCUCGGCCUCUGCGACCGCUGCCUCAGCCUGGACGAGCGCAACUUCCACUGUUGGGAUUACCGGCGCGUGGUGGUAAAGGCGUCUGGUGUUUCUGUCGAGCAGGAGCUGCAGUUUACAGAUCGUCUGAUUGGCUCCAAUUUCUCCAACUACUCCAGCUGGCAUUACAGGAGCACGCUGUUACCUCAGCUCCACCCACAGCCUGCCCCUGACUCCGCCCCCAUUACAAGCCCCUCCCCCACCACCUCACCUCAGUUUCACUCACACAGAGUCUGUGAGGAGCAGCUUCUUAAAGAAUAUGAGCUGUCACAUAAUGCCUUCUUCACCGACCCCAACGACCAGAGCGCCUGGUUUUAUUACCGCUGGCUGCUGGGCAGAGCAGAGCGAGAGGAGAUGAUCAGUUGUGUGUAUGUCAGCCGGGAGGGAGAGAGGGUGUCUGUCGCCUUCUCCAAACCUGUUCAUGCUCAGUCAGAGGGUCUGAUGUUGGUGUUGGACGGUCAGCCUCAGCAGGUGGAGUGGAGAAGCACCCACCCACGUCUCCGUCACAGUCCUGUCUGGCUGUGUGAUCUUCCUCCCGGCUCCAUCAGUGACAUAAGUAAUGAACACAACCUGACCAUCCACUGGACAGAGAAACACACACACAGAGACUGUGCUCUCUACACAGGCUGUGCUGAAAGCUGGUGCAGAGACUCUGCCACUAAUCUGGAGCUUUUCAGGAGUGAGCUAUCAGUUGAGAAGAGUUCAGUGUUACAGGCAGAGCUUCAGUCCUGCAAUCAGCUGCUGGAGCUCGAACCGCAGAACAAAUGGUGUCUGCUGACCAUCAUACUCCUCAUGAGAGCUCUGGAUCCUUUAGGCCAUGAGAAAGAGACUCUGGCACAUUUUCAAACCCUUAAAGAAGUGGACCCGAUGCGCUCUACCUACUACAGUGACCUGUGCAGCAAGUUUCUGAUUGAAAACACCAUUCUGAAAAUGGAGUAUGCAGAGGUGCGAGUGUUUAGCCUGUCAAAUAAGGUCUGUCGAGGUAUUGCUGGAUGUAAUGCAGUCCCAUGUUGACUGCAUCAACCACAGACCAGAGGAUCCAGCAAGGGUCCAGUGAUGUCCUUCAGGUAGGCCAGGACCAGUCUCUCAAGUGACUUCAUGACCACAGACGUGAGAGUGACAGGUCUGUAAUCAUUAAGUCCAGAUUUGUUGGGUUUUUUGGGGACCGGAAUGAUGGUGGAGUGUUUGAAGCAGCUGGGAACUUCACACAGCUCCAGAGAUCUGUUGAAAUACACGUUAUUGUGAACGUAAUUCUUCAUUCACUAUCAAGGUUGUAAAUGAUUUUAAAAGAAUCUCAGGUAUCUGUAGUGUCUCUUUCUUCCAGUGUUUUCUCAGAGCCAUCUACAAUGUUACUAGUGGCAUCUUCAUUUAGCUUUCAAAUCCUAUAAUAUAUGAAAAAUGAGAACUAAAAAAUAAUCAUUAUUUUUUAUUUUUUUUUAGUUUCAGAACAAUGAAGAUUUUAGAUUCACUUAUUUUUACUUUAGUUUUUAUUUUAGUUUAUUAAUACUAUUUAUAGUUAAAAUUUUCAUUUAUGAAAAUAAUCUUGGUUAAUGUGUGUUCAUUUAACUAAAAAUUAAAAUUUCUGAGGUUAGAGUUAUUAAAAUAUGUCCAACCUUAAUGUCUAAAGGUAUUGUAAACAUCAUCAUGGUGUUUUAAAAAGGUCAUGUCUUCAUGUGUUUGUUUAAUGAGUGUGACAGCAUUGUUUAAAUGUCUUCACUCGUGUGAAGAAACUGAUGGUGCACAUGAAUGUGAUGACAGAAACAUGAGUAAUGUACAAUUUCUCUUGAGGUGUUUUGAAGUGUGGAGGCCUCUUCUAUUCUUCUCAGUCAAUGUUACAGUGCUUGAAAUGAAAGAUUAACUUGAAAUAUCUUCCAGUCAGACUUCUCUCUUUGUCUUUCAUUCCUACAACAGAACCUGACGACCCUGUGUCACCUUGAUCAGCUUCUCUUUGUGACUCACAUCAACCUCUCCUCCAAUCAACUGCUGCGGCUGCCGCCUCAUUUUGCCAUGCUGCAGUGCCUCGAGGUGCUGGAGGCCGAUGAUAAUGCCAUUGAAAAUCUG